CUGUCAGGGACUGUGAUCCACCAGCCCUGGAAGUAUUCACAGAGCUGUUAUCUAGUACCUGGAGGUUCUACAUUCUAUCCACUGGCUGCACUAAGGAAGUAUAUAUUGGUUGAAUGGAAUUGGAAGAGGAUAAGAGCACCAGACCUGUCGUCAAGAAGAUCAGAGUUCAAAUCUAACCUCACACACUUACUAGGUAAGUAAAUAUUUAACCCUAUUUGCUUGUUUCCUUCCCCGUAAAAUGAGCUAGGGAAGGAAGUGGUAAACCACUCUGGUAUCUUUUCCAUGAAAACCCCAAAUUGGGUCAAGAAGAGUCAGACAUAACUGAAAAAUGACUGAAAAUUUUCAUCUAAUUAAACAAUGGCAGCCAGGGCAAAAUGAAUAGAAAGUUGGAUGGAAGCCUAAGUGCUGGUUCAGACUCAUUUUUUUGUGUGUGACCUAAAUCAAUUAAUUUAACUUCCUUGUGUUCUAGGUGAUGAUUAUCAAACACAAAUUUCAGAGAAGAUAUGAAUCUAAGUUUGUAGGAAGAGAUUCCUCAUCCAGAAUUUCCCUAUAUCAGUGAAAUCUUAGGGCUAUUCCCUAUCUGUGACAAUUUCAAUAAGAAGUGUUAGAAUACAAAGCAACAAUCAUUUUACUCUCAACAGUUUCCCUCGGGUUCAUAUCCCAUAACAAAAACAUUAAGGAAUAUUGCAACAUAAUUUAUCUUUUCUGUAUUCUAUCUCUUACACUGAUCCUCAGGAAGGAUAUUGACUAUUUUUUUUAAACAUUAUUUUAUUUGGUCGUUUCCAUAAAUUAUUCACUGGAAACAAAGAUCAUUUUCUUUUCCUCCCCUCCCCCCCUCCUUUCCCUCUCCCAUAGCCGACACACGAUUCCACUGGUUAUUACAUGUGUACUUGACUCGACCCCUUUCCCUGUUGUUGGAAUUUGCAUUAUAGGGUUCAUUUAGAGUCUCUCCUCAGUCUUAUCCCCUCCAACCCUGUAGUCAAGCAGUUGCUUUUCAUCGGUGUUUUUACUCCCACAGUUUAUCCUCUGCUUGUGGGUAGUAUUUUUUAUAUCCCUGCAGAUUGUUCAGGGACGUUGCAUUGAUACUAAUGGAGAAGUCCAUCACCUUCGAUUGUACCACAAUGUAUCAGUCUCUGUGUACAAUGUUUUUUUGGUUCUGCUCCUUUUGCUCUGCAUCACUUCCUGGAGGUUGUUCCAGUCUCCAUGGAAUUCCUCUACUUUAUUAUUCCUUAUAGUAUUCCAUCACCAACAUAUACCACAAUUUGUUCAGCCAUUCCCCAAUUGACGGGCAUCCCCUCGUUUUCCAAAUUUUGGCCAUCACAAAGAGCGCAGCUAUGAAUAUUUUUGUACAAGACUUUUUGUCCAUUAUCUCUUUGGGGUACAAGCCCAUCAGUGCUAUGGCUGGAUCAAAGGGCAGACAGUCUUUUAUCGCCCUUUGGGCAUAGUUCCAAAUUGCCCUCCAGAAUGGUUGGAUCAAUUCACAACUCCACCAGCAAUGAAUUAAUGUCCCCACUUUGCUGCAUCCCGUCCAGCAUUCAUUACUUUCCAUAGCUGUCAUGUUAGCCAAUCUGCUAGGUGUGAGGUGAUACUUCAGAGUUGUUUUGAUUUGCAUCUCUCUGAUUAUAAGAGAUGUAGAGCACUUUUUCAUGUGCUUAUUAAUAGUUUUGAUUUCUUUGGCUGAGAAUUGCCUGUUCAUGUCCCUUGCCCAUUUUUCAAUUGGAGAAUGGCUUGAUUUUUUGUACAAUUGAUUUAGUUCUUUAUAAAUUUGAGUAAUUAAAUGUUUGUCAGGGGUUUUUAUGAAGAUUGUUUCCCAAUUUGUUGCUACCCUUCUAAUUUUGGUUACAUUGGUUUUGUUUGUACAAAAACUUUUUAAUUUGAUGUAAUCCAGAUUAUUUAUUUUGCAUUUUGUAACUCUUUCUAAUUCUUGCUUGGUUUUGAAGUAUUUCCCUUCCCAAAGGUCUGACAUGUAUACUAUUCUGUGUUCGCCUAAUUUUCUUAUAGUUUCCUUCUUUAUGUUCAAGUCAUUCACCCAUUUUGAAUUUAUAUUGGUGUAGGGUGUGAGGUGUUGAUCUAAACCUAACCUUUCCCACACUGUCCUCCAAUUUUCCCAGCAGUUUUUAUGAAAUACUGGAUUUUUGUCCCAAAAGCUGGGAUCUUUGGAUUUGUCAUAUACUGUCUUGCUGAGGUUGCUUGCCCCCAGUCUAUUCCACUGAUCUUCCUUUCUGUCUCUUAGCCAGUACCAAAUUGUUUUGAUGACCACUGAUUUAUAAUAUAGUCUGAGAUCUGGGACUGCAAGGCCCCCUUCCUUUGUAUUUUUUUUUUCAUUAUUUCCCUGGAUAUCCUUGAUCUUUUCUUCUUCCAAAUGAACUUUGUUAUGGUUUUUUCUAAAUCAGUAAAAAAAAAUUUUUGGAAGUUCCAUGGGUAUGGCACUAAAUAGAUAGAUGAGUUUGGGUAGGAUGGUCAUUUUUAUUAUAUUGGCUCAUCCUACCCAUGAGCAGUUAAUGUUCUUCCAAUUGUUCAAGUCUAGUUUUAGUUGUGUGGAAAGUGUUUUGUAGUUGUGUUCAUAUAGAUCCUGUGUUUGUCUCGUGAGAUAGAUUCCUAAGUAUUUUAUAUUGUCUAAGGUAAUUUUGAGUGGGAUUUCUCUUUCUAGUUCUUGCUGCUGAGCUGUGUUGGAAUUAUAUAGAAAUUCUGAUGACUUAUCUGGGUUUAUUUUGUAUCCUGCAACUUUGCUAAAGUUGUUGAUUAUUUCGAUUAGCUUUUUGGUUGAAUCUCUAGGAUUCUUUAAGUAGACCAUCAUGUCAUCUGCAAAGAGCGAUAAUUUGGUCUCCUCCUUGCCUAUUUUAAUGCCUUCAAUUUCUUUUUCUUCUCUAAUUGCUACUGCUAGUGUUUCUAAUACAAUAUCAAAUAAUAGAGGUGAUAAUGGGCAUCCUUGUUUCACUCCUGAUCUUAAUGGGAAUGGAUUUAGUUUAUCCCCAUUGCAGAUCAUAUUAGAUGAUGGUUUUAGAUAUAUACUAUUUAUUAUUUUUAGGAAUGACCCUUCUAUUCCUAUGCUUUCUAGUGUUUUUAGUAGGAAUGGGUGUUGUAUUUUAUCAAAGGCUUUUUCUGCAUCUAUUGAGAUAAUCAUGUGGUUCUUGUUGGUUUGCUUGUUGAUGUGGUCAAUUAUGUGGAUUUUUUUCCUAAUGUUGAACCAGCCCUGCAUCCCUGGUAUAAAUCCUACUUGAUGAUGGUGGAUGACCCUUUUGAUCACUUGCUGGAGUCUUUUUGCUAGUAUCCUAUUUAAGAUUUUUGCAUCUAUAUUCAUUAGGGAGAUUGGUUUAUAAUUUUCUUUCUCUGUUUUUGGCCUGCCUGGCUUUGGAAUUAGUACCAUGUUUGUGUCAUAAAAGGAGUUUGGUAGAAGUCCCUCUUUGCUUAUUAUGUCAAAUAGUUUGUAUAGUAUUGGGAUUAACUGUUCUCUGAAUGUUUGAUAGAAUUCACUGGUGAAUCCGUCAGGCCCUGGGGAUAGGAAGUUCUUUGAUGGCCUGUUGGAUUUUUUUUCUGAUAUGGGGUUAUUUAAGAAAACUAUUUCUUCUUCUGUUAGUCUAGGCAAUUUAUAUUUUUGUAGAUAUUCAUCCAUAUCAUCUAGGUUGGUAUAUUUAUUGCCAUAUAGUUGGCCAAAGUAGUUUUUAAUGAUUGCCUUAAUUUCCUCUUCAUUGGAGGUGAGAUCCCCCUUUUCAUCCUUGAUGCUGUUAAUUUGCCUUUCUUCUUUCCUUUUUUUAAUUAGAUUGACCACUACUUUGUCUAUUUUGUCUGUUUUUUCAAAGUACCAGCUUCUAGUCUUGUUUAUUAGCUCAAUAGUUCUGUCACUUUCGAUUUUAUUAAUUUCUCCCUUAAUUUUUAGGAUCUCUAGUAUGGUUUUCUUCUGGGGGGUUUUAAUUUGUUCGUUCUCAAGUUUUUUGAUUUGCAUUUCCAAUUCCUUGAUCUCCGUCCUCCCUAAUUUGUUAAUAUAUGCACUCAGGGAUAUGAAUUUUCCUCUAAGUACUGCCUUGGCUGCAUCCCAUAACGUUUGAAAGGAUUUUUCACCGUUGUCAUUUUCUUCAACGAAAUUAUUAAUUGUUUCUAUGAUUUCUUCUCUAACUAUCCGAUUUUGGAGUAUCAUGUUAUUUAAUUUCCAAUUAAUUUUUGAUUUGGGUCUCCAUGUACCCUUGCCGAUCAAUAUUUUGAUUGCCUUGUGAUCUGAGAAGGCUGCAGUUAUUAUUUCUGCUUUUCUGCAUUUGAGUGCCAUGUUUCUAUGACCUAGUGUAUGAUCUAGUUUUGUGAAUGUGCCAUGUGGUGCUGAAAAGAAGGUGUAUUCCUUUUUGUCACUAUUUAUUUUUCUCCAUAUGUCUAUUAACUCUUAUUUUUCUAAGAUUUCAUUCACCUCUUUUACCUCUUUCUUGUUUAUUUUUUGGUUUGAUUCAUCUAAAUUUGAUAGUGGUUGGUUCAAGUCUCCCACUAAUAUGGUUUUACUGUCUAUUUCAUCCUUCAAUUCUCCUAGUUUCUAUAUUAAAAAUUUGGAUGCUAUACCAUUUGGUGCAUACAUGUUGAUUAGUGAUAUUUCCUCAUUGUCUAUACUCCCUUUUAGCAGAAUAUAUUUACCUUCCCUAUCCCUUUUGAUCAGGUCUAUUUGUGCUUUGGCUUUGUCAGAUAUCAUGAUUGCAACUCCUGCCUUCUUUCUAUCAGUUGAGGCCCAAAAGGUCUUACUCCAACCUUUAAUUCUAACCUUGUGAGUGUCAACCCGUCUCAUAUGUGUUUCUUGAAGACAACAAAUGGUAGGGUUUUGGGUUCCAAUCCAUUCUGCUAUUUGUCUACAUUUUAUGGGUGAGCUCAUCCCAUUCACGUUCAAAGUUAUGAUUGUCAUUUGUGGAUUCGCUGGCAUUUUGGUAUCUUCCCCUAAUUCUGACCUUUCUUCUUUAGGUUUCUCCUUUUGAACCAGUGAUUUACUUUAGGUCAGUCCCCCUAGUCCCCUCCCUUGAGAUGCUUCCCUUUCUAGCCCCUCCCUUUUUAUGUUCACUUCCCUAGCCCCUCCCUUUUUAUGUUCACUUCCCCUCCCCCCUCUCCUUACCUCCCUUUUUAUACUCCCUCCCUCCUCCGCCUCGUUAAUUUUCCUUUCUUUCUUACCCAUUUCGAUAAGAUAGAAUUCAGGAUCCCACUGGAUCUAGAUGUUCUUCCCUCUCAGAUUUGAUUUCACUGAGAGUAACGUUUAAGUAAUUCCACUUCACGCUCUCUUCCUCUCCUUCUCAUAUGAGAGUUCUUCCCCUCCCCUUCCCAUGUGUAUCUUUAUAUGGGAAAGAUUAUUCUAUUGAGUCCCCCCCUAUUUCUUGAAAUUAAUCUUAGUAUUAUCAACGGUUCCUCCAUCCCUUUUCCUUUCUUUGCCCCCACUUUCCCCAAAUCUUCUUAAUGCCCCAAUCUUUCCCUAUGCAUGUUUCUUUUAACUACUCUUAUGAUGCUACAAUUUAUGAGAGUUACAAAAAACAUUUUCCCCACAUAUUAAUAUAUAUAAUUUGAUGUAAAUGUAGUCCUUAUAGAAGAGAGUUUGACUUAAAGAAAAAGAUAAGAUUUAUCUCCUUUUCCCUUUCUUUCAUAUUUACCUUUUCAUGUUUCUCUUGCUUUCUGUGCUUGGAUAUCGAACUUUCCACAGAGCUCUGGUCUUUUCUUAGCAAAUGCUUGGAAAUCUUCUAUUUUGUUGAAUUCCCGUACUUUCCCCUGGAAGUAUAUAGUCAGUUUUGCUGGGUAGUUGAUUCUUGGUUGGAGACCCAGCUCUCUUGACUUUCUAAAUAUCGUGUUCCAUGCUUUGCGGUCUCUUAGUGUGUUAGCCGCGAAGUCGUGUGUGAUCCUUAUGGGAGCCCCCUUAUAUCUGAAGCACCUCUUCUUGGCUUCUUGUAGGAUUUUCACCUUUUCUUGGAAGCUCUUGAAUUUGGCAAUUAUAUUCCUAGGGGUUAUCUUUUGGGGAUUUGGUAUAGAAGGUGUUCUAUGAAUCCUUUCUAUUUCUAUUUUGCCCCCUUGCUCCAGAACGUGGGGGCAAUUUUCUUUUAUAAUCUCUUGUAGAAUAAUAUUGAGUUUAUUGUUUAUCACUGGUUUUUUCUGGGAGACCGAUAAUUCGGAGGUUUUCUCUUUUCCCUCUGUUUUCGAGAUCGGUGACCUUCUCAGUGAGAUAUUUUAUGUUUUCUUCUGAUUCAUUAAUUUUUUGGGUUUGCUUUAUUGAUUCUUGCUGUUUUAUCAACUUGCUUUCUUCGAGUUGCUUAAUUCUGGUCGUUAGGGACUGGUUUUGCUUUUCAGCCUUGUCUGCCCUUCUAUUGGAUGCUUCGAGUUCUUUUUCCAAUUGAGCAUUCUUAUCUGUCAGACACCUGAUCUCUUUCUCCCAUUUUUCUUUCCAGGUUUCCAUCUUUUGGAUAAGUUCCAGUUUGAGAUCUUCCAGAGCUUGUUGAUAGUUUCCAUUUUGGGAGGCAUGUUCUGAUUUUUUUUGGAUUUUCUCCUCAUUCUCCUCUUUUCCUUGGGUACUUCCACCAUAAAAGUUUUCAAUAGUCACUUUUUUCCCUUUCUUCCUGGAGGCUUGAUUUUGGGCCAUGUGAGCCAUCCCUUUGGUGGUUUUAUUCUCCUUUCCUUUUUGGUCUGGGGUCUGGGUUAUAUGGGCAGUUUUUCUGUGAAUUUAGGUUGCUUCAGACUAGUUCUUUCCAGCCUCCAAGGUUUCUUAGAGUGCUGGGUCCCUGAUCACAGCCACACUGCCCAGGUGUUCAGCUCUGCCCAGAUAAUCAGCGCGUGGUCCACCCCUGGUGUUUAGCUCCGCGGAGAUGUUCAACACAGCCAUCCCAAGUACAGCUCCACUGACCCCCGUAAUCAGAGCCGGGCUCUCCAGUGAAACCGCCCUGAGACGUCUUCUCCUGGCAAUCCCCAGAUCCCAAGGACCCUGGAGUGCCCCCCCCCAGACAGAGACGUUCCCCACUCACUCGCUGUCCAGGUGAGCGCUCAGGUAGCUCACUCUGGUUUGGUGGGGGAGGUGGGGUGGGGGAAGGGCGGCUCAGUUCACUUUUCUGUGCAAGCUUUUCCUCCUUCUUAUUAUAGUGUGGAAAUAUUCAAGCCCCACGUACCUUCGCCUCUGUGGAGUACUGGGAGUACUGGGGUGUCCUUCUGUUCCUCCAAAGGUGAUUUUUAUGCUCCUUUUAUAUAGUCUAUUUCUUUCGGUGCCGGGGAGAGGAAGCGUGUGGCGUCUAGAUUGCAGCCAUGAUUACCCGGAAGUAGGAUAUUGACUAUUGACUCUUUUCUUGAAUCUCACUUUUGAUCAUCUCAUUAUUCAAACAGCUACUUUCAAACCAAAUCAUCCAGAAAGCAUCACCAAAUCAGUUAGAAAUGUAUGAUUAAUUAUUUUUUGGCCUUUAAAAAUUGUCAGAUAACAAGUUCAUGUAAUUGUUGACAUAAUUGUUGAUACUGAUAUUAUUAAUCUGUCCUUCCCACAUUUCUCGCAUUUCCUACCAUAAGCAAUUUUUUUUAAAUCUAUCCUUCACAACAUAUCUGGUAAAAUAUAGUUUUACUUUAAUCAUGAAAUUAUGUACAGAUAAGAUGACAGUGAGAAGAGUAUCAAUAGAGUGGGCAGGUUGGGCUGGGUUGUAAUUUGCAUUGUUCAGGAGAGUAACUAUAUUGAUGUAAUCACAGACACAUUGAAGCAUUGACAUAUCUCUACUAAAGGUAUCAGUAUCAAAUGCAAAAUUCUGGAAGAAGAGACAGUGUGAGUUACCUAAUAGAGCAUCACAAGUAAAUGGACACAUGAAAUACACUGAGAGAAUCCCACUGAGAGAAGUCCACUUAAAAAAGAAAACAAAAGAACAAAACAUUUCACUAACCUCUAUAAUCUUCUUAAUCUAUGAUCCUUUAUUUCUUCUUAUUUUAAUAGUCCAAUUCUUAGAGAAAUCUCUUUAGAAUUAUUGCCCAAGGUUCCUGGUAUCUCACUUCCAAGCCCUUACAAUCAGACUUCUAGAUUCAUCACUCAAAUAAAACUACUUUCUCCAAAGCUACUAUGAGUUUUCUUAGUUGAUAGUCUUUUCUCAGCCCUCUUGCUUAUUUCAAAAUGUUGACUAAACUCUUCUCAAAAAAACCUCUUACUUUAGUUUCUAUUACACUAUUCUCUCUUGGUUACCCUCCAAACUUUGUGAUUCUUUAGUAUUCCUUUUGAGCUUAUCAUGUUUCCUCCAAUUGUGGUUAUACACUAAAGCUCUUUUUAAUUACCUUCUCUAUAUAUACUUUCUUGGCAAGUUUAUCAGAUUCCCUUGGGUUCAAUUAUCCAUAUGAAGAUGAUAGAUUUACAUUCCUAGCUCUCACUUCUCUUGAAUUAUAUUCCUUUAUCAAUUACCAACUGUGGAAUAUUUCAAACCAAAUAAACCAAAGGAAUCUCAAAUUCAAUAUAUCCAAAACAAAACUGAUUAUUUUUAUCCUCAAACUAACCCUCUUCCAAACUUCCCAAUGUUUUUCCAUGGCACCACUACCUUUUAUUUACUCCUCACUCCUCACCAUAAUUCUAUGUAAUUAGUUGCAAAAUUUUGUUGUUACCACCUCUCUUAUCUAUCAAAUCUUACUCUUCCCUUCUCACACAGUCAUUAUCUUAGUUUAGAGCUUUAUCCCCUCUUCAUAGGAAUAUUUCAAAGAUCUCCUUAUCAAUUUUCCUAUCAAUGAACUCUACUGCCAUCUAGCCUCUGCACAGUUGCAAAAAAAUGAUUUUCUUUAAGCACUUUUUAAAAAAUUGAUUAUCUGCUAUGCAGAGAUGUACUGGUAAAGGUUUAUCAACUCACUAAUCCCACUCCAGCUCCUCAAACAAGUAUACAUGACAUGCUUUUAAUGUUGAUGACAAUAAUAAUAGCUAGAAUUUAUAUAGUACCUACCAGGGAAUUGGAAGUGUGUUAAGCAUUUUAUCAAUAUCAUCUCGUUUGUUCCUCACACAGCCCUGUGAGUUUAGAGCAUUUUAAGUAGAAAUAUAGGUUAAGUAACUGGUCCAAGGUCACAUAACUAGUCUGCUGGCAAAUAUCCCAAGUCAGAUUUUAACUCAGGUCUUGCUGAACCCAGCAUUCUAUCUAUUUCACCAGUCUCUUUUAAAUAUAUUUUAUUUAUAUUUAAAUAUAAUCUAUAUUAUUAAAGUUGUCUCAUCACUUUAAGUCAACAAAACAAUAAAACAAGCAUUUGCAGAUUUCUAAUGUGUAAAUUCUCACAUUGAAAGUUUAAUAAUAAGUUCUUACAAGUCAGAGCUGAUUCCAAUACACUCAUUAUUUUAUCCUUUUCUAAUGUGGUUAGCCAUUUUUUGCCCACAUUAUUGCUGAAGAAAUCAUGUCUUCUUUAUUUAGAAACAAUACAGAAGAAUUUGCAGUAAUUUCUAAAAUCCAGGUACUCUCAGUGGUUUGUUAUACACAUAAGUUAUCUAAUAGCACUAAUUCUUGCUAGUUCUAGUAGAACACUAUUGCACUUUUGUGCAAAACUUCCCCAAGUACCUGAAAGAUGAUGCUUAUUAAUAAAACCAAGAAUAAAAUGAAGGAAAAUUCGAGGGAGAUAAAGAAGGUACCGUAAAAUACAGCUUAGCCUUGUAGGUACAUAAUAAGCACAGGUUGUCAAAUCAGCACUUUUUCCAACUAUUUGAAAUACUUUAAAAUUUUAAUAUUUAUUUUUUAUAUUACAUGAAGAACAGUUUUAACAUUCAUUUAUUAAAAUAUUGAAUUCCGUGUUCUUGUUCCUUUCAUUUCUCCCUUCCCUUCUCCCUGAAAAAGGAAACAAAAAGAAAAAAGAAAAUUAUUGCAAUUCUCUGUAACAUGGAAUUAAAUAAUAUGAGUUUUACCUUUGUAAUGACCCACCCACCCUCUAGUGGAGGCAUAUUACAAAGCAGCAGUCAUCAAAACAAUUUGGUACUGGCUAAGAGACAGAAAGGAGGAUCAGUGGAAUAGACUGGGGGCAAGUGACCUCAGCCAGAUAGUAUACGAUAAACCCAAAGAUCCCAGCUUAUGGGACAAAAAUCCACUAUUCGAUAAGAACUGCUGGGAAAAUUGGAAGACAGUGUAGGAGAGAUUAGGAAUUGAUCAACACCUGACACCCUACACCAAGAUAAAUUCAAAAUGGGUGAAAGACUUAAACAUAAAGAAGGAAACCAUAAGUAAAUUGGGUAAACACAGAAUAGUAUACAUGUCAGACCUUUGGGAAGGGAAAGACUUUAAAACCAAGCAAGACAUAGAAAGAAUCACAAAAUGUAAAAUAAAUAAUUUCGACUACAUCAAAUUAAAAGGCUUUUGUACAAACAAAACCAAUGUAACUAAAAUCAGAAGGAAAACAACAAAUUGGGAAAAAAUCUUCAUAAAAACCUCUGACAAAGGUUUAAUUACUCAAAUUUAUAAAGAGCUAAAUCAAUUGUACAAAAAAUCAAGCCAUUCCCCAAUUGAUAAAUGGGCAAGGGAAAUGGAUAGGCAGUUCUCAGAUAAAGAAAUCAAAACUAUUAAUAAGCACAUGAAGAAGUGCUCCACAUCUCUUAUAAUCAGAGAGAUGCAAAUCAAAACAACUCUGAGGUAUCACCUCACACCUAGCAGAUUGGCUAACAUGACAGUUAUGGAAAGUAAUGAAUGCUGGAGGGGAUGUGGCAAUGUAGGGACAUUAAUUCAUUGCUGGUGGCGUUGUGAACUGAUCCAGCCAUUCUGGAGGGCAAUUUGGAACUAUGCACAAAGGGCGAUAAAAGAAUGUCUACCCUUUGAUCCAGCCAUAGCACUGCUGGGUCUGUACCCCAAAGAGAUAAGGGACAAAAAGACUUGUACAAAAAUAUUCAUAGCUGCGCUCUUUGUGGUGGCCAAAAAUUGGAAAACGAGGGGAUGCCCAUCAAUUGGGGAAUGGCUGAACAAAUUGUGGUAUAUGUUGGUGAUGGAAUACUAUUGUGCAAAAAGGAAUAAUAAAGUGGAGAAGUUCCAUGGAGACUGGAACAACCUCCAGGAAGUGAUGCAGAGCGAGAGGAGCAGAACCAGGAGAACAUUGUACACAGAGACAAACACACUGUGGUAUAAUUGAACAUAAUGGACUUCUCCAUUAGUGGCAGUGUAAUGCCCCUGCACAAUCUGCAGGGAUGAAGGAGAAAAAAAACACUAUCCAUAAGCAGAGGACAAACUGAGGGAGUAGAAACACCGAGGAAAAGCAACUGCCUGACUACAAUAGCUGAGGGGACAUGACAGAGGAAAGACUCUGAGCGAACACUCUCAUGCAAAUACUAACAACAUGGCAAUGGGUUCAAGUCAAGAACACAUAUGAUACCAGUGGAAUCACGCGUCGGCCACGGGGGGGUGGGAGGGAGGAAAAGAAAAUGAUCUUUGUCUUUAAUGAAAAAUGCAUGGAAAUGAUCAAAUAAAAUACUAUAAAAUUAAAAAAAAAAGAAAUCACAAAAUGACUAAUAGGCAAGAAACAGAAAUGAGAGGAGAGAUACUUCAGGAUAUUCAGACGUUUGACUAAAGUUGACAUUUGACUAAAGUUGCUCUUUAGUCUCAUUUUCUGUUCAUUUCCUUAUCUUUAGAGUAUCAUAUUCUUUUGGAAAUAUUCCUCAGGAUGAUUCAUUAAAUCUGCAUUUUUUUUUUCAUUUCAAUCUGCUGUCAAGUUUUAUAAAUACUUAAAUUUAGAUGAAGAAAGAUGAUUUUUUACUGUGACCAAGUCUUUGAUGGCCUUUUGCAUACCUCUCAAAUAUAUAGCUUUCCUAACAAACUAGUUGUAUCUUUGUUUUUAUGAAUUAAGGAAACUAAUCUUAAGAGAUUUAUGACCACAUAAUGGCAUCAAAGUGAUUCUUGGCUAUUGAGGAAUAUUCCAGGGGACCAUGAGUUCUGGAAGACACUACCAUGAAAGAAAUGUUUAAAUUAUGGUCUAGGAGAGACUACAAUUCCUUUCUAAGAACCAAAUAAAUAACUGGAUAAGCAUUACCAUUAGGGGGGCCUCUUGGUGAGGAAUUAUUUGGCCAUGCUAAUAUUAGUCUACCUAGAAGCCGCAUCCAUUACAGAAAAAAGAAAUAGGAAAGUUUUUCAUAAAUUUCUUAAUUUACUUAUUUGGUUUUAUAGAUUUGCAAGAGUAGGAAGUAUAGUACUGUUGAAUAAAUGCAUAGUUGUUUUGAAAUUAUUAGCCAUUUUCCUAAAAGAAAAUGGUUCCUAAAAUAAAGGGUUUUAAAAUUAAUAUAGAAUUUGAAUACUUUUAAAAAUUAUUCUGGUGACUAAUUCAAUGAAUAAAGUUCUUCUCUCAGUGGAUUUUGUUCUUCUACUAAAUUGUUGGGUGGUGUCACAUUACAGGUAGCCAAAUUAUUAUUAUUGUCCUACUAGUAGGAAAAGUAUAUGGGUUUAUUCAUAAAAACUCAAUAGAUAUUAUUAAAUAAGUUAAUUAAUUGAAUUAUUAAAAAUAAUAUAGCACUUUUAGAGUAAUCCUUAGAAUAAGCAGACAUUAAAUUCAAAGGCUACCCUUAAUAAAAAAGUAAAGUUUUCAGUCAAUCAAACAAAACCAAGUAUUUACUAAAUUUUACUAUUUACAAAUUUACAUUGUACUAGAAAAUGGGGUUACAGUGUUGUUCAAACAUUCCUUCUCAUAAGCAUUUUACCUUGUAAUGUGAAGUGAAGGAAUGCAAAUUUGCUAAUAGUAACAGCUGUCAUUAUCAUAGAUAUCAAUUAUAAGUUCCUUAUAUUUAAUGACAAUUAUUCAACAAUUUAAAACCAUAGUGAACAAGGCCCUUAAAAAUCUGUGUUGUGGAGGCAGGAGACAAUAAUUUUACAAAUCAUGAUGAAGCUUUAUGGUUAUUAGAAGACAUAACUGUUAUUUUUGUUAUACAAUCUUUGUUCUCUUAAAAUAAUAUGAUAGUCCCUAGAGCAAGUUUAAAUUGUGUUAAACCUGUAUUUAGCCAUUUGAUAUUUACCAGUGCUAAUAAAGGUCGUGUAGAUAAUUAUCUCUAUGUUGUUCUGUCUUGCAUUCUGUAGUAAUUUCUAUAUUGAAAUCUAUUGCCUAUCAAUAGCUAGUUUUGAAAGCAGCUUCUUUUCUGGGCUCUCUUUUCAAAGUCUUCAAAGCUUAUGACAUGCUUGUCAAAGAGGAAAAGAACCUCAAUUAGAGGACCCUGUAUCAGUCCAUACUGAAAUAUGUUAUUUCUAUUUAUGCAAUAAACACUCCUUCAUUAGUCAACAUCAAAAAGAUAUCUGAAAUAUAUUUAUUUUUCUCUUUGUUUUGACUGGAAAGCAUAUACAUUCAACAGUCAUAUUUUCUUAAGGAUAUCUGGCCUUUUCUAUAACUGUGAAAUAAAAGCAAUUUUACUUAGAGUUUUCAUAUUAUCUUUCUGUGCAUUUUUAUUCCUUCACUCACUCUUCAAGAUAUUCCAUGAAUUACCUAGUUAUAGCUUGCUCUCAGAGAAGAGUUUAAUAUCAUCCAUUUACAACUUGGUGUAAAUUUGAAUCAAUGUGUUAACUUUCCCAAGAGUGUUUAUAAUUUAAGCUUUAUCUGUAAGGAAUAAAAAGGUCAUGUCUCUGAAUUAAAAGUGACUUACAGUUUAAAAUGUCAGAAAGUAGUUUGGGGAGGCUAUCUCAGAGAAAGGGGGAAAGUGUGGAAAUUCUGAAUUCAAGUGGGUUUAGUGGCUACUAUUCUAACUGUAUAAAACUGACUGUUUCCAGGUAGCGAGUCUACUUAUUUAGUAUAGUUAAUAGUAUCAAAUUAUCAUUCCCCAGACAUAUAUAUGCUGUCAUGCUCCUCUGUUGCAGUCUCCACCUUCAACUUAACAGUCUCAGCUCUUUGUCCUAAUCCUGGGCUUCUGAUAAGUGAGCAUUCACCAAAUGCAGUCUCAAUAAACUAUACUAUUGCCUAUAUAGCCUCAACUUUCCUCUACAUAAUUUCUUCCAGGUCUGAAGACAGUAAUCACACUAACUCUACUAAAAAUACUCCUCUUUAUCCACUACUUCCCCAAAUGUGUCCAUGCUUAAUUUUAAUUUCCUUUUAUUAAUAUUAUUUUUCUAAAUUACAUAAAAACAGUUUUUACCUCUGGGUUUUUUUUUUUAAGUUUGAGCCAUAUUCACAGCAUCUUUCACUUCCUCCCUUCCCUUCUCUCUGAGAGGCAAAGCAAUCUGAUAUAGAUUUUACAUGUGAAAGUAUAAAACAUUUUUCUAUACUAGUCAUUUUGUGAAAGAGAACUCAAACAAAUAAAAAUGGAGAAAUGAAGUGAAAUAUACUAUGUGUAGGUUCACAUGCAGAUUCCAUCAGUUAUUUCUCUGGAGUUGAAUGGAAGUUUUUAUCAUGAAUCCUUGAGGAUUGCCUUGGAUCACUAUAUUGCUAAGAAUAAUGCUUAAUUUUUGUCUUUAUUUAAUGUGUUGAUUUUUAAUACUUACAUUAAAAUAUAGACACUUUGAGGCAGAACUAAGAUGAUAGGGUAUCAUGAGGAAGUGCAGCUUCCUCUCACACCCAUCCCAAACCUACCUAGAAAAGAUACAAGACCUAAUCUCAAUCAAGAAACCAAAGGAAAACAUAAUCAAAAUGAUUAUUUCCCAUCCAUAUCAGUAGAGGGAAUUAGCUAGAAAGUUAUGUGAACAUUACCAGAAAUGACCUUAUGGUUCCAUCACAAGAAGAGACUUAGGGGGCAGCUGGGUAGCUCAGUGGAUUGAGAGCCAGGCCUAGAGAUGGGAGGUCCUAGGUUCAAAUAUGGCCUCAGUGUAAAGAUUAAAAUUUGGGAAAACUGAGGAAGGAAGAAAUUAGUUUCUCUCUGCAAGAAGUAUUAUUUUUUUGAUGUUUAUUAAAGGUUAAAGAAAAUACGAGCAAGAGAAGCACGUGCUAGGUGGGCCAUGAGGCCCACCCAAAUUUCACUCACAUCAUGAGAUGUGUCUGUUUGCCAGCAGAGACAGGAAGAGAAGAGCUAAUAGCCUUUACAGGCAGGUUAAAUACCCCAUCUCACUCUCGGCCCAGGCGAGGUUACAAGGAAUUCUGGGAAGUGAGCAAGGACUCCAGGGGAUUGAAGUCCUGAAUUCAAGUCUCCAUUUUUUAUAUCAGACACUUCCUAGCUGUGUGAUCCUGGGCAAGUCACUUAACCCCCAUUGCCUAGCCCUUACCACUCUUUUGCCUUGGAACCAAUGCACAGCAUUGAUUCCAAGAUGGAAGUUAAGGGUUUUUAUAAAAAAAAAUCAAAACAAGGGGAGGGUUAUACAAUAAAAGAAUAGGUUAUGAAUUCUGGAUAGAUGAGCCUAUGCCUAUAUGAGGUAUAGAAAUAAAUUCUAACUGGUAGUUCUGUUUAUCAACCCCCAUUCCUGGUUCACAAAUACAGGUAUCUAUGCUUACAGAUGGUGUUCUACACUGAGGGACAAUUUCAGGUCUUAGGCUAUGUAGUGAGAGAAGAGAAUGUUAAGAAGAAAGAAGCAACCGAGUCAAUCUGGUCCUUGGAGUAGAAUGGAGUAUCAUUUCCAGAUUCCAGUAAAACCAGACAAGAGAAAAGGGCAGUCUGUAGUUCUAUCACUAAAGAGCAUCAGCCUAAUGCAACUGCUACAAGGACAAUCUCAGAUACCAACACAGGUCAGAAACAUUUAGAAUGCAGACCAAAAAGGAAGAAAUUGAAUUUUAUUCAAAGAUAAUUUGUUUCUAUUUUUUAUUUUUAGAAUAUUUUUCCAUAAUUGCAUGAUUCAUGUAACUGAAUGAACUGACAAGAAAUUCCACUGGAUUUAUCAUUGUUCAAAAGCUACUUCUAUGUUAUACAUAUUUGGAGGAGAGUGAUCUUUUAACAUCAAAACCCUAAUCACACUAUGUGAUGGAUCAUUUUUUUCCUCUGCAUUUCUGCUCCAACAGUUCUUUCUCUGGAUGUGGAUAGCAUUCUUUCUCCUCUGGAUUGUCCUGGUUAAUAGCAUUGCUGCUAGUAGAAAAGUCUAUUACAUUUGAUUGUGUCACGAUAUAUCAUUUUCUGUAUACAACGUUCUACUGUUUCUGCUCCUCUCACUCUGCAUCAGUUCCUGAAGGUCUUCCCAGUUCACAUGGAAUUCCUCCAGUUUAUUAUUCCUGUCACCAUAAUAAUAUUCCAUCACCAUCAGACACCACAAUUUGUUCAGACAUUCCCCAAUCGAUGGACACUCCUUCAUUUUCCAGUUUUUUGCCACCACAAAAAGUGGGACGAAAAAUAUUUUUGUCGAAGUCUUUUUCCUUAUUGUCUCUUUGGGGCACAAAUCCAGCAGUGGUAUGAUUGGGUCAAAAGGUAGGCAUUCUUUUAAAGCCAUUUGGCAUAAUUCCAAAUUUCCCUCCAGAAUGGUUGGAGUAAUUCACAACUCCUCCAGCAAAGUAUUAGUGUUAGUCACAAAUCCUCCAGCAAUGUAUUAGUAUUAGUCACAACUCCUCCAGCAAUGUAUUAAUUUUUCCACAUCCCCUUCAAUAUCACUUUCCUUUGCUGCCAUAUUGGCCAGUCUGUUAGGUGUAAGGUAGUACCUCAGAGCUGUUUUAAUUUACAUUUCUCUAAUCAGGAAAGCUUUAGAAUACUUUGUCAUGUGCUUACUGAUAGUUUUGAUUUCAUCAUGUGAAAACUGCCUAUUUGUGUCCUUGACCAUAUGUCAUUUGGGAAUGGCUUUACUUUUUGUAAAUUUGACUUAGUUCAUCAUGUAUUUUGGAAAUUAAACCUUUGUCAGAGAGUUUUGUUAUGAAAAUGUUCUCCCACUUUGUUGUUUUCCUUCUAAUUUUGGUUGCACUGGUUUUGUCCAAAGUCCAAAACUUUUUAAUUUGAUAUAAUGAAAGCCGUUCAUUUUACAUUUUGUAAUGUUCUUUAUCUCUUACUUGUUCUUAAAUUUCUUCUUUUUCUACAAAUAUGACAGGUAUACUAUUCUAUAUUCAUCUAAAUUAUUUAUGAUUUCACUUUUUACAUUUAAGUCAUUUACCCAUUUUGAAUUUAUCUUGGUAUAGGGUCUAAACCUGAUUAUUUCCCAUACUGUUUUCUAAUUUUCCCAGCAUUUUUUGUAAUAUAGUGAGUUCUUGUCCCAAUAUCUUGGACCUUUGGGUUUAUCAAACACUAGCUUCCUGAGGACAUUUAGGCCAAGUCUAUUCCAUUGAUCCUUCCUUCUGUCUCAGCCAAUACCAUAUUGUUUUGUUGACCACUGCCUUGUAGGACAGUUUAAGAUCUGGUACUGCUAGGCCACCUUCCUUCACAUUUUUUUUUCAUUUUCCCCUUGAUAUUCUUGAUCUUUUCCUUUCAGGAAAAUUUUGUUAUUUUUUGGAAUUCUAGAAAAAGAGUUUUUUGGGUAGUUUGAUAUGUAUAGCACUGAAUAAGUAAAUAGGAUUGCCAUUUUUAUUAUAUUAAUUUACCCUACC